rnacentral:rRNA from 1 species
AAGAAGCGAAGCGGUGACGUGGAGCAAACCUCAGAAAGCCAAUCUCAGUUCGGAUUGUAGGCUGCGACUCGCCUACAUGAAGUUGGAAUCGCUAGUAAUCGCGAAUCAGAAUGUCGCGGUGAAUACGUUCCCGGGUCUUGUACACACCGCCCGUCACACCACGAGAGUUUACAACACCCGAAGUCAGUGGCCUAACCGCAAGGAGGGAGCUGCCUAAGGUGGGGUAGAUGAUUGGGGUGAAGUCGUAACAAGGUAUC